rnacentral:rRNA from 1 species
CCCUUCGGGAGGCAGCAGUGGGGAAUAUUGGACAAUGGACCGCAAGUCUGAUCCAGCAAUUCUGUGUGCACGAUGACGUUUUUCGGAAUGUAAAGUGCUUUCAGUCGGGAAGAAGUCAGUGACGGUACCGACAGAAGAAGCGACGGCUAAAUACGUGCCAGCAGCCGCGGUAAUACGUAUGUCGCAAGCGUUAUCCGGAUUUAUUGGGCGUAAAGCGCGUCUAGGCGGCAAGGAAAGUCUGAUGUGAAAAUGCGGAGCUCAACUCCGUAUGGCGUUGGAAACUGCCUUACUAGAGUACUGGAGAGGUAGGCGGAACUACAAGUGUAGAGGUGAAAUUCGUAGAUAUUUGUAGGAAUGCCGAUGGGGAAGCCAGCCUACUGGACAGAUACUGACGCUAAAGCGCGAAAGCGUGGGUAGCAAACAGGAUUAGAUACCCUGGUAGUCC